CCAGGCCAGCAGGUGGCGGUAAUGCACCAAAUAUAUUGAUGCAAACCGCUGUUUAGAGCAGAAGAAGUAUCACACUGCAGCUUUGGCGGCCUGGUCUGCAGUCUGCUCCGUCUGAGACGACACUAUGGAGAUGUUUGGACUGCAGUAUAAUGAGCAUGGUUGCCCCCAGUUCCUGUGGACUGGGACCAGCACAGGACCAAGACUGCCCGACCUCCUUCAGAGCAGUGCAUCCACUGCACAGUCAUCGUAAUGGACGUGGCACUAAGGAGGAUUGUCCAGCCGCACGUUUGUUAUGUUAUUAUGCUUUGAAGUUUAUGAAUCAUACCAGUAUUUGCUUUUUGAAGAGACCAAUUGACACCAUUAUUGUUUCUGCAAUUUUG